AACGCGAAGAACCUUACCAAGGCUUGACAUAUACGAGAACGCUCUAGAAAUAGAGAACUCUUUGGACACUCGUAUACAGGUGGUGCAUGGUUGUCGUCAGCUCGUGUCGUGAGAUGUUGGGUUAAGUCCCGCAACGAGCGCAACCCUCGUUCUAUGUUGCCAGCGGUUCGGCCGGGAACUCAUAGGAGACUGCCGGGGUCAACUCGGAGGAAGG
rnacentral:rRNA from 1 species